UACGGAGGGUGCAAGCGUUGCUCGGAAUUAUUGGGCGUAAAGGGUAGGUAGGUGGUCUCGUUUGUCAGGGGUGAAAGCCUUGGGCUUAACUCAAGAAGUGCCCCUGAAACGGCGAGACUCGAGUACUGGAGAGGGUCGUGGAAUUCCCGGUGUAGCGGUGAAAUGCGUAGAGAUCGGGAGGAACACCAGAGGCGAAGGCGGCGGUCUGGGCCGGCACUGACGCUGAGACGCGAAAGCGUGGGGAGCAAACAGG
rnacentral:rRNA from 1 species